rnacentral:rRNA from 1 species
UGUGAUGCCCUUAGAUGUUCUGGGCCGCACGCGUGCUACACUGAUGCAUACAGCGAGUAUCACCGGCUCCGAGAGGCUUCCGGUAAUCAGCAAUAUGCAUCGUGCUGGGGAUAGAUCUUUGGAAUUAUAGAUCUUGAACGAGGAAUUCCUAGUAAGCGCAAGUCAUUAGCUUGCGCUGAUUAAGUCCCUGCCCUUUGUACACACCGCCCGUCGCUCCUACCGAUUUCGAGUGAUUCGGUGAACCUUUUGGACAGCGUUGGGUCUCGUGCCUGAUGCUAGAAGUCAAGAAACCAUAUCACUUAGAGGAAGGAGAAGUCGAACAGGUUC